rnacentral:rRNA from 1 species
GUUGAACGCUGGCGGCAGGCUUAACACAUGCAAGUCGAACGUGAUCCGGAGCUUGCUCCGGUGAAAGUGGCGCACGGGUGAGUAACGCGUGGGAACCUGCCCAGAAGUAGGGAAUAACCGCGGGAAACUGCGGCUAAUACCCUAUACUCCCUUCGGGGGAAAGAUUUAUCGCUUUUGGAUGGGCCCGCGUCGGAUUAGCUAGUUGGUGAGGUAACGGCUCACCAAGGCGACGAUCCGUAGCUGGUCUGAGAGGAUGAUCAGCCACACUGGGACUGAGACACGGCCCAGACUCCUACGGGAGGCAGCAGUGGGGAAUAUUGGACAAUGGGCGCAAGCCUGAUCCAGCAAUGCCGCGUGAGUGAUGAAGGCCUUAGGGUUGUAAAGCUCUUUCGGCGGGGAAGAUGAUGACGGUACCCGCAGAAGAAGCCCCGGCUAACUUCGUGCCAGCAGCCGCGGUAAAAC